UGCUAUACAUGCAAGUCGAGCGGACCGACGGGAGCUUGCUCCCUUAGGUCAGCGGCGGACGGGUGAGUAACACGUGGGUAACCUGCCUGUAAGACUGGGAUAACUCCGGGAAACCGGGGCUAAUACCGGAUGCUUGAUUGAACCGCAUGGUUCAAUCAUAAAAGGUGGCUUUUAGCUACCACUUACAGAUGGACCCGCGGCGCAUUAGCUAGUUGGUGAGGUAACGGCUCACCAAGGCGACGAUGCGUAGCCGACCUGAGAGGGUGAUCGGCCACACUGGGACUGAGACACGGCCCAGACUCCUACGGGAGGCAGCAGUAGGGAAUCUUCCGCAAUGGACGAAAGUCUGACGGAGCAACGCCGCGUGAGUGAUGAAGGUUUUCGGAUCGUAAAACUCUGUUGUUAGGGAAGAACAAGUACCGUUCGAAUAGGGCGGUACCUUGACGGUACCUAACCAGAAAGCCACGGCUAACUACGUGCCAGCAGCCGCGGUAAUACGUAGGUGGCAAGCGUUGUCCGGAAUUAUUGGGCGUAAAGCGCGCGCAGGCGGUUUCUUAAGUCUGAUGUGAAAGCCCCCGGCUCAACCGGGGAGGGUCAUUGGAAACUGGGGAACUUGAGUGCAGAAGAGGAGAGUGGAAUUCCACGUGUAGCGGUGAAAUGCGUAGAGAUGUGGAGGAACACCAGUGGCGAAGGCGACUCUCUGGUCUGUAACUGACGCUGAGGCGCGAAAGCGUGGGGAGCGAACAGGAUUAGAUACCCUGGUAGUCCACGCCGUAAACGAUGAGUGCUAAGUGUUAGA
rnacentral:rRNA from 1 species